UCGAGGCUGCAAUGAGCUAUGAUCAUGCCACUGCACUCCACCCUGGGUGACAGAGCAAGACCCUGUCAAAGAGAACAAAAUUAGAGUCAUUUUGACAAUUCAACUAGAUAGGGUGUGAUGGGAGCAUUUCAUCUAUAAAUCUGGGACUGAGAUUAAAUUCUAAGGAUCAGCUGGAGACAAGGAUGCUGGCCAGCUGAGCGUGUGGGUUGAUGGGCUUUCAGAUGCUUCACGUCUGCCUAUCACAGAGCUGAACCAAGUGCCAUUUUUCUCUCUUUGGUGGAAUACUUAGCUGAGAGCAUCGGAAAAUUGGUGGAUGAUUCUUUCAGGCUGAAGAAACAAGUAUACUGCCUUCAUAGCACUUUGAAAGAAGUUAUCCAGUGGACAUACUGUCAUAAAUGAUAAUAUGAUUUCUGUUUUCUGAUUUGCUCCUGUAAAAGUCUAUUUUUAUUAUAAAAUGAAUACACAUUUAUUUACAAAAUACAGGAAAACACUGAAGAGUAGAAGGAAAAACAUCAUUCCUGUUCUUAUUUUCCAAACAAAAUCCAUUCCUUUUCUAGUUUUGAAAUAGAAAAUUAUUUGUCAUUUGAUGUAACUUUCAGUUUGGACUGACUUGAUAUGCAAAUAACCUCCUCUUAUCUCAGAAAAGGUGGCUUUUUUUUUCCUGGCACAGACCUGAAUGAACGACCUUGUUUAAAUUACAUUCAGUUUGACAAAUGUCAUUGAACGCCUGCCAUGUGCGUGCUACUGAGUUAGAGCCUGUGGUGGUUACAAAGAUUAAUAAGACACAGCACUUCACGCGAGCAGGUUAUAAACUAGCAAGAGAGGCGGACCUGUGUAGAGCAAGAUAGGGGGAUAACCCCAAGGUCAGCAAAGACAGAAGCUUAUUCCAUGGGCUGUUGAUGUGGAGGGUGGAAGUGAGAAGCAUGAAAAUAAUGUUUUGAGAAUGUGGCAUUUGAGCUGGAACAGAAAGGGCUCCUUGGCUUUGGACUGUAGAAUCUGCAGGGAAGGAAAUUGAAGAGGUGAAAUACAUGGAACUUGACAAGGGUGGCUAUUGCGGCUUGAGUAUGUAAUAAAUGGAGAAUUGAUUCAUCAGAAGUGCAAGUAGCUGCUCUCCUCAAUAGAAGAGGGCUUGGAGAAGAAGAGGGGCUUUAGAAAGUAAGGAGAGUCACUGUCACACAAAUGACAGCCAGUGAUGGAAGAAGAAGUGCCAGUAAAGCAACAUGGCAGGGAGGAAUCACAUCUCCUUUUUCUUCAGUCAAGAACUGAACACCUAAUACUUCAAAAGGAAAACUGGUUUUAGAAACUGGAGUGGAGCAUGCAGUUGGCAAUCCGAGCAGGCAGAAGGAAGCAGAAGGGAAUGAAGGAACAGGAUCAGCCUCUGCACCACUGGCUGUAGCUCCAGCAUGGGCCGGUGACCAUGCCCUUCAACAUCCGGGGGCUUUCGGACCUGACCCGCAAGUCUAGUUUUAGGUGUGAUAGUAGAAGAGUCUUUUGCAUUUCAGAUUCCUUUUCUCUCUACAGCUGUGGCCUGACAGCCAUAUUUACUCUUACCUGUAUUCCGAGGUCUUUCAUUCUUGCAAGUGCCAGCUCUCUCAGGUUACCAUGCUCUACUCCUGAGCUGACUAAAGGCAUUGGAAUAUCCCUGUACAGGAGAAAAACAUAAGCUAUUGCAAAUCAUUCUCCACAGCAGUAAGGCAAGGAUGUUCAGAGAAAAAAAAAACAAAAACAA